AGUGAAGCGGCAGUGCCCGGCCGGCCAUCCAUACCUGCGUUCCUCGUGCAGCUAGUGUGGCUACGAGAAGAAAACGGAGAAGGAAAAGGGUGGUGCUCGGCAAGGACCACAACCUGGAUCAGCAUUCAGCAGAUGGGUGAAAUUGGACGGUGGAGACGCGUCUCCACGAAAAGGCGCCGUCUGUUGCCACGCAGUGCUGACAAAUACUCCCUCCGUUCUAAAUAUCUAUAAAUCUAAA
rnacentral:lncRNA from 1 species